rnacentral:rRNA from 1 species
AUGCACGCUGGCGGCGUGCCUAAUACAUGCCAGUCGAGCGAACAGACGAGGAGCUUGCUCCUCUGACGUUAGCGGCGGACGGGUGAGUAACACGUGGAUAACCUACCUAUAAGACUGGGAUAACUUCGGGAAACCGGAGCUAAUACCGGAUAAUAUAUUGAACCGCAUGGUUCAAUAGUGAAAGACGGUUUUGCUGUCACUUAUAGAUGGAUCCGCGCCGCAUUAGCUAGUUGGUAAGGUAACGGCUUACCAAGGCAACGAUGCGUAGCCGACCUGAGAGGGUGAUCGGCCACACUGGAACUGAGACACGGUCCAGACUCCUACGGGAAGCAGCAGUAGGGAAUCUUCCGCAAUGGGCGAAAGCCUGACGGAGCAACGCCGCGUGAGUGAUGAAGGUCUUCGGAUCGUAAAACUCUGUUAUUAGGGAAGAACAAAUGUGUAAGUAACUAUGCACGUCUUGACGGUACCUAAUCAGAAAGCCACGGCUAACUACGUG